AGAUCCUAGGUGCAAGGUAUGUGACAUGUCUGGUAGUUUCAGUUGCAUUGUUCUAGCAACAUGAUCUGGGAUUGUAUAAUUUGGGCUAGAAUGUAUAGAGAAACAUAGUGCCAUGAACCUAAAUAUCUCAAUUCUCAAGGCCCUCUUCACACUGGAUACUUUGUAUUCCUCAAUUCAUGUCUAUGGGGAAGGUGAACUUUCUUAUGCUAGGAUAAGUGCAAUAAUGCUUGAUGAUCCUAUCAAUAAAUUGAAUGUGGAAGCUGAAAUUUAGGCUGAUCUGCCAACUUUGUGCCUCACUUUGAACUUAUUUCAGAGCUCUUAAUUAUCAAAUUUACAGGUCAUGAUAGUUGCA
rnacentral:misc_RNA from 1 species